rnacentral:rRNA from 1 species
AAAUUGAAGAGUUUGAUCAUGGCUCAGAUUGAACGCUGGCGGCAGGCCUAACACAUGCAAGUCGAACGGUAACAGGAAACAGCUUGCUGCUUCGCUGACGAGUGGCGGACGGGUGAGUAAUGUCUGGGAAACUGCCUGAUGGAGGGGGAUAACUACUGGAAACGGUAGCUAAUACCGCAUAACGUCGCAAGACCAAAGAGGGGGACCUUCGGGCCUCUUGCCAUCAGAUGUGCCCAGAUGGGAUUAGCUAGUAGGUGGGGUAACGGCUCACCUAGGCGACGAUCCCUAGCUGGUCUGAGAGGAUGACCAGCCACACUGGAACUGAGACACGGUCCAGACUCCUACGGGAGGCAGCAGUGGGGAAUAUUGCACAAUGGGCGCAAGCCUGAUGCAGCCAUGCCGCGUGUAUGAAGAAGGCCUUCGGGUUGUAAAGUACUUUCAGCGGGGAGGAAGGGAGUAAAGUUAAUACCUUUGCUCAUUGACGUUACCCGCAGAAGAAGCACCGGCUAACUCCGUGCCAGCAGCCGCGGUAAUACGGAGGGUGCAAGCGUUAAUCGGAAUUACUGGGCGUAAAGCGCACGCAGGCGGUUUGUUAAGUCAGAUGUGAAAUCCCCGGGCUCAACCUGGGAACUGCAUCUGAUACUGGCAAGCUUGAGUCUCGUAGAGGGGGGUAGAAUUCCAGGUGUAGCGGUGAAAUGCGUAGAGAUCUGGAGGAAUACCGGUGGCGAAGGCGGCCCCCUGGACGAAGACUGACGCUCAGGUGCGAAAGCGUGGGGAGCAAACAGGAUUAGAUACCCUGGUAGUCCACGCCGUAAACGAUGUCGACUUGGAGGUUGUGCCCUUGAGGCGUGGCUUCCGGAGCUAACGCGUUAAGUCGACCGCCUGGGGAGUACGGCCGCAAGGUUAAAACUCAAAUGAAUUGACGGGGGCCCGCACAAGCGGUGGAGCAUGUGGUUUAAUUCGAUGCAACGCGAAGAACCUUACCUGGUCUUGACAUCCACGGAAGUUUUCAGAGAUGAGAAUGUGCCUUCGGGAACCGUGAGACAGGUGCUGCAUGGCUGUCGUCAGCUCGUGUUGUGAAAUGUUGGGUUAAGUCCCGCAACGAGCGCAACCCUUAUCCUUUGUUGCCAGCGGUCCGGCCGGGAACUCAAAGGAGACUGCCAGUGAUAAACUGGAGGAAGGUGGGGAUGACGUCAAGUCAUCAUGGCCCUUACGACCAGGGCUACACACGUGCUACAAUGGCGCAUACAAAGAGAAGCGACCUCGCGAGAGCAAGCGGACCUCAUAAAGUGCGUCGUAGUCCGGAUUGGAGUCUGCAACUCGACUCCAUGAAGUCGGAAUCGCUAGUAAUCGUGGAUCAGAAUGCCACGGUGAAUACGUUCCCGGGCCUUGUACACACCGCCCGUCACACCAUGGGAGUGGGUUGCAAAAGAAGUAGGUAGCUUAACCUUCGGGAGGGCGCUUACCACUUUGUGAUUCAUGACUGGGGUGAAGUCGUAACAAGGUAACCGUAGGGGAACCUGCGGUUGGAUCACCUCCUUA